GAGUUUGAUCGUGGCUCAGGACGAACGCUGGCGGCGUGCCUAACACAUGCAAGUCGAGCGGAGACAGUGAGUAGCUUGCUAUGAGCUGUUUUAGCGGCGGACGGGUGAGUAACGCGUGAGCAACCUUUCCCAGACAGGGGAAUAACACACCGAAAGGUGUACUAAUACCGCAUAAGACCACGGGAUCACAUGGUUCUGGGGUAAAAGAUUUAUCGGUUUGGGUGGGCUCGCGUCCGAUUAGGUAGUUGGUGAGGUAACGGCCCACCAAGCCGACGAUCGGUAGCCGACCUGAGAGGGUGAUCGGCCACAUUGGGACUGAGACACGGCCCAAACUCCUACGGGAGGCAGCAGUGGGGAAUAUUGGGCAAUGGGGGGAACCCGUGACCCAGCAACGCCGCGUGGAGGAAGAAGGUUUUCGGUAUCGUAAACUCCUGUCCUUGGAGACGAGUAGAAGACGGUAUCCAAGGAGGAAGCCCCGGCUAACUACGUGACAGCCGCCGCCGUAAU
rnacentral:rRNA from 1 species